CAGCAGCCACGGGAAUACGGAGGGUGCAAGCGUUAAUCGGAAUUACUGGGCGUAAAGCGCACGCAGGCGGUCUGACAAGUCAGAUGUGAAAUCCCCGGGCUUAACCUGGGAACUGCAUUUGAAACUGUCAGGCUGGAGUCUUGUAGAGGGGGGUGGAAUUCCAGGUGUAGCGGUGAAAUGCGUAGAGAUCUGGAGGAAUACCGGUGGCGAAGGCGGCCCCCUGGACAAAGACUGACGCUCAGGUGCGAAAGCGUGGGGAGCAAACAGGAUUAGAUACCCGUGUAGUCCCUGUCUCUUAUAC
rnacentral:rRNA from 1 species